rnacentral:rRNA from 1 species
UACGGGGGGAGCAAGCGUUGUUCGGAUUACUGGGCGUAAAGGCGCGUAGGCGGCCACCGCAAGUCGACUGUGAAAUCUCCGGGCUUAACUCGGAACGGUCAGCUGAUACUGCUUUGCUAGAGUGCAGAAGGGGCAACUGGAAUUCUCGGUGUAGCGGUGAAAUGCGUAGAUAUCGAGAGGAACACCUGCGGCGAAGGCGGGUUGCUGGGCUGACACUGACGCUGAUGUGCGAAAGCUAGGGGAGCGAACGGG